GGUGAAUGCUGGCGGCGUGGAUGAGGCAUGCAAGUCGAAUGGGUUUAGACCCAUGGCAGACGAGGUAGGAACACGUAGGUACAUACCCCAAAGUCAGGGAUAAUCUGGAGAAAUCCAGGAUAAUACUUGAUAGUCUCUUCGGAGUAAAGAUUUAUCGCUUUGGGAAUGGCCUGCGUUCUAUCAGCUUGUUGGUAAGGUAACGGCUUACCAAGGCUACGACGGAUAGGGGAGGUGAGAGCCUGACCCCCACCGAUGGAACUGCGACACGGUCCAUACUCCUACGGGAGGCCGCAGUCGAGAAUCUUCCGCAAUGGACGAAAGUCUGACGGAGCGACGCCGCGUGGUGGAUGAAGCCCUUUGGGGCGUAAACACCUUUUAUGGAGGAGGAAGUUUUAUUGACGUUACUCCAUGAAUAAGGGGCUCCCAAUUCUG
rnacentral:rRNA from 1 species